AUUGAACGCUGGCGGCAGGCCUAACACAUGCAAGUCGAACGAGUGGCGGACGGGUGAGUAAUGUCUGGGAAACUGCCCGAUGGAGGGGGAUAACUACUGGAAACGGUAGCUAAUACCUCAUACUAUCGGAUGUGCCCAUAUGGGAUUAGCUUGUUGGUGGGGUAACGGCUCACCUAGGCGACGAUCCCUAGCUGGUCUGAGAGGAUGACCAGCCACACUGGCACUGGGACACGUUCCAGACUCCUCCGGGAGGCAGCAGUGUGGAAUAUUGCACAAUGGGCGCAAGCCUGAUGCAGCCAUGCCGCGUGUAUGAAGAAGGCCUUCGGGUUGUAAAGUACUUUCAGCGGGGAGGCGUUACCCGCAGAAGAAGCACCGGCUAACUCCGUGCCAGCAGCCGCGGUAAUUC
rnacentral:rRNA from 1 species